AACGACUCUCGACAACGGAUAUCUCGGCUCUCGCAUCGAUGAAGAACGUAGCGAAAUGCGAUACUUGGUGUGAAUUGCAGAAUCCCGUGAACCAUCGAGUCUUUGAACGCAAGUUGCGCCCGAAGCCAAUAGGCUGAGGGCACGCCUGCCUGGGUGUCACGC
rnacentral:rRNA from 3 species